rnacentral:lncRNA from 1 species
GUGAAUAAGGUGUGAUCAUCAUCAUCAUCAUCAUCAUCUCAGCCAACCGGCUCCAUCAGACAUGGCAGCGCGCACAUCAGAGCCGCUCUGUCAGCCGUGCGUCUACCAUGAGGCGUUCAAAGUGGAGCUACAGGUGAGGAGACCUCUGAUGCCGGUCCAGCUGGGUCCAGAGCAGGUGGGCCUGGAGAUGCUCUGUCUGUGUGAGCAGCUGGACCUCCUCAUCCGGGCACAGAUGCAGCAGUUCCAGGAGCAGUUGGGACACGGCUGCAGCCCGGAGGAAUCGGACACUUUCCAGGCUCAAGGAUCAGAGAUUCUUGACCAGAUGCUGCAGUGCCUUGAACAUCUACCAAAGCCUAUGCCCCAGCUGGAGGACUACCUGGACAUGAUGGGUCUGUCAGCGAUGUUUCCUCGUGUGGAGGUGUUCCUCAUUCAAGGCAGCCCCGUGGAAAUGUUGGAGAGGCCCCCGAUGGAUGAUUACUUCUUCCACAUUGCCAAACUGAACCAGCUCUUGGUGCUGAGUCAACAGCUCGAGGAAGAUAUGAGGCACCUUGGAAGUCACAAAUACAUCGCCCACCAGCUCUCGGUGAUAUAUCAAGUCAUCAGCUCAUUCGGGGGAAUUCAGGUCUUCUCUGAGAUAAAGAAAGAUAUCGAGGCCAACUUCAAACAGAUGAAACAGUCUCUCGCGAGCGACGAGGGCUCCAGGCAUGAGCCUCAGCUGGCUGCUCACUACACCAACUGGAUAUUAGAAAUAACUCAGAGCGUGAUAUCGGUGGUGUUGUCACUACCGGAGGAGCUGACGGACGACCUUCACCAGGCUGUGACCUUCGUGUCCCAUCUCCUGUCCUGACUCACCCCCCGGCGAACGGACACCUCUGACUCUACAAACCCCCCGGUGGUCUGAUGCACCGGGCCUUUCUCCGGGAGUCUCCUGCUUCUAGAUGAACUGAUGUUGUUAUGACUGUGAACAGGUGCUACAUACAUUGAUUCAACUGACUGAUGGUGCGGGGUUGGAAAAGCCUAUACUUCAUUCACAAAUCGUCUAGGUUUUUAUACGUCCCCUCUGAAUGUGGCUCAUAUAAGUCUGUGGUGAGUCAGUUGUUCGGAAAAGGAAUGUAAUCUUGUCGAAUCCCUCCUUGCACUGCUGUUAAUAAUAACUGCUGUUGUAAUUUUUUUAACCUUAAGUGAAAUAAUAAAGUUGAAUGCAAUAGGGAGGCUUUUGCAUGUCCUCGCUGUAGACAUCAUCGCUACACACUUGUACUUUGUCAUGGCAGGAAGAAAAACACCGGUGAAGGACUGCAACUAAAGAUUAUUUUCUUUAAGGGUCAAUCAAAAAGGGUGGCAUAGUGGAACAGUGGUUAGCACUGUCGCCCAGGGGAACCCAGGUACUGAGUUUAAAUCUGAUGGCCGUCUGGGGCCUUACUGUUAUCGUGGGGCCUGCAUGUUCUCCACUUUCUGCACUACAGUUGUUUUAAAUGUGCUUCAUAAAGAACCUUGAUUUGACUUGACAUGCAUUAAGUUCAGGUAAAGGGCUCCCCCUGCUGUUCAAUUCCUGCAACAUGUUGAAUGAGGAAAUGCCAUGACAGCUCCCUUCUGAAAUGAACUGAGUUAAUUAAAAUACAGGGACCGUAUGAAUCAAAUUUUUAAUAUUACGCGA